UGGCGGCAUGCUUAACCCAUGCAGUCGAACGGCAGCGCGGAGAAGCUUGCUUCUCUGGCGGCGAGUGGCGGACGGGUGAGUAAUGCAUAGGAAUCUGCCUUAUAGUGGGGGAUAACCCGAGGAAACUCGGGCUAAUACCGCAUAAUCUCUACGGAGCAAAGCUGGGGACCUUCGGGCCUGGCGCUAAAAGAUGAGCCUAUGUCGGAUUAGCUUGUUGGUGAGGUAAAGGCUCACCAAGGCGACGAUCCGUAGCUGGUCUGAGAGGAUGACCAGCCACACUGGGACUGAGACACGGCCCAGACUCCUACGGGAGGCAGCAGUGGGGAAUAUUGGACAAUGGGCGAAAGCCUGAUCCAGCAAUGCCGCGUGUGUGAAGAAGGCCUUCGGGUUGUAAAGCACUUUCAGUGGGGAGGAAAGCCUUAGGGUUAAUAACCCUAAGGGAUGACGUUACCUGCAGAAGAAGCACCGGCUAACUCUGUGCCAGCAGCCGCGGUAAUACAGAGGGUGCAAGCGUUAAUCGGAAUUACUGGGCGUAAAGCGCUCGUAGGCGGAUAUCUAAGUCGAUUGUGAAAGCCCUGGGCUUAACCUGGGAACUGCAGUCGAUACUGGGUAUCUAGAGUAUGGUAGAGGAUAGUGGAAUUCCCGGUGUAGCAGUGAAAUGCGUAGAUAUCGGGAGGAACACCAGUGGCGAAGGCGACUUUCUGGACCAAUACUGACGCUGAGGAGCGA
rnacentral:rRNA from 1 species